UUCAGCUACCCUGGCAUCUUGAGUAACUGCCCUCGAUCUGGUCAUUGUUGUGACUCCAAUUGCAACAAACAUAAACUAUUUCCCUUCGAAACCUUGCUCUGUUACCAAAUUGUUAGGCAUCAGCUCAGGUCAGUCCCUGAACACAGAGACUGGGGCAGAAACCUAACAACAAUUGGAGAAUUAGAGGAGAUGAGAAAAGAAAUAGAAUCAGAUAG
rnacentral:misc_RNA from 1 species